UACGAGGGGUGCAAGCGUUGCUCGGAAUUAUUGGGCGUAAAGGGUAGGUAGGUGGUCUCAUUUGUCUGGGGUGAAAUCCUUGAGCUUAACUCAAGAACUGCCCCAGAAACGGUGAGACUCGAGUACUGGAGAGGGCCGUGGAAUUCCCGGUGUAGCGGUGAAAUGCGUAGAGAUCGGGAGGAACACCAGAGGCGAAGGCGGCGACCUGGACAGUUACUGACACUCAACUACGAAAGCGUGGGGAGCAAACAGG
rnacentral:rRNA from 1 species